rnacentral:lncRNA from 1 species
ACUUCCGCCCCGAGCGAGAGGCUAGAGGCGAGAGGCGGGGGAGGCGGGAGGGACCCUGCGGACAGGGCACGAGUCCGGGUCUCGGAGGAGGUCGGCGACUGCCGCGUGGGUCCGCGACUCACCAAGUACAGCGGCUGCCAGCGACGCUGAGUAUCCAACUCUUCGAACUCCCGCUCGAUGGUGGUGGGCAUGGCUGCGGGAGCGAGCUGGCGCGAGCAGAGCCUGCGCCGGCGGAGAGGCUCAGGCCCCGCACGAUCCGGGGAGAGCGCUGGCGCUGCGGCGCAUGCGCGCUGCGCGCCGCGCC